rnacentral:rRNA from 1 species
CGCCUUCUUGGUCAUUUAGAGGAAGUAAAGUCGUAACAAGGUUUCCGUAGGUGAACCUGCGGAAGGAUCAUUAACGUAUCUCUGACGGCGAGGGUGCGCCCAGCUCCAUCCGAAAGGACGUGCAGCGGGCGAGCCCGAGCCGCUCAACCUUUGCAAACCCACCGUGCACUUUUGUCGGCAGAGGGCCCCUGUGGUCCCGAGCCGGAUCACAAACUCCAAGUUUGAUUUGAAUGUGAAGCGGACAUGUGCCGCCUAAACUUUAACAACUUUCAACAACGGAUCUCUUGGCUCUCGCAUCGAUGAAGAACGCAGCGAAAUGCGAUAAGUAAUGUGAAUUGCAGAAUUCAGUGAAUCAUCGAAUCUUUGAACGCACCUUGCGCUCCUUGGUAUUCCGAGGAGCAUGCCUGUUUGAGUGUCUUGAAGUCAUCAACCCCUCCCGUUUUUGUGCGAGAGGAAGGUUGGAGAUGGGGGCCUGCGACCGUGAGGCCGCUCCCCUCAAAUGCUUCGGUUGGGCCUGUGGGUCGAACUCGGUUGGGCGUUGUAUCAUCCUCGCUCUUUGUCUGAGAAGUUCCCCUUUGAUUGAGCCCUCCCACGACUGCCUUUCCAGAGGUGGUCAAUCUAAUUUGAAAUCUGACCUCAAAUCAGGUAGGACUACCCGCUGAACUUAAGCAUAUCAAUAAGCGGAGGAAG